rnacentral:rRNA from 1 species
CCCUUAGAUGCCCGGGGCCGCACGCGCGCUACACUGAAGGAAUCAGCGUGGCUUUCUCCCUGGUCCGAAAGGACCGGGAAACCCGUUGAAUCUCCUUCGUGAUAGGGAUUGGGGCUUGAAAUUGUUCCCCAUGAACGAGGAAUUCCCAGUAAGCGCGAGUCAUAAGCUCGCGUUGAUUACGUCCCUGCCCUUUGUACACACCGCCCGUCGCUACUACCGAUUGAACGGUUUAGUGAGGGCCUCGGAUUGGUCUCGGCCCGCUCUUCACCGGGCGGCGCCGUUGGUCGAGAAGACGCUCGAACUUGAUCGUUUAGAGGAAGUAAAAGUCGUAACA